GUGCUCCCUGAGGAUUGCUUCUGUAAUGAAUCCCGUACUGUAUUGCCACCCUUCUUUAAUUGAUUUCUCUACCACGUACCAAACCUUAACUCUAUCGUGCUUCUUGGCCCAAUCAUCAAGCUCUUCUCUCAGCAAAAUAUCAUCUUCGGUUCUGUUCGCAUACACCACGUACAUCUCUGUUUCAUCUUCAGGAUCCUUCAGAAUGGCUUGCAUGAUUUGAUAAAUAGGGGUGAUUCCUGUGCCGCCAGCUAACAUAGCCAGCUUCUUAGCAAACUUUGGCUUUCCGUGAACCAAAAAGUUGCCACGGCCAGUGUAUUGAAUGUGACCCAAUGGACCCUU
rnacentral:lncRNA from 1 species